rnacentral:SRP_RNA from 1 species
GUUCGGGCCCUGUGCAUCGGACGACACCGAACCUCGUCAGGCCCGGAAGGGAGCAGCGAUAAGGUGCUCGCGUCGAGUGCCGCAGAUUCACCGGAACCC